rnacentral:siRNA from 1 species
CUCGUUUAGGUGUCGUUGAUAG